rnacentral:rRNA from 1 species
GACGAACGCUGGCGGCGUGCUUAACACAUGCAAGUCGAACGGAAAGGCCCUGCUUUUGUGGGGUGCUCGAGUGGCGAACGGGUGAGUAACACGUGAGUAACCUGCCCUUGACUUUGGGAUAACUUCAGGAAACUGGGGCUAAUACCGGAUAGGAGCUCCUGCUGCAUGGUGGGGGUUGGAAAGUUUCGGCGGUUGGGGAUGGACUCGCGGCUUAUCAGCUUGUUGGUGGGGUAGUGGCUUACCAAGGCUUUGACGGGUAGCCGGCCUGAGAGGGUGAACGGCCACCUUGGGACUGAGAUACGGCACAGACUGCUACGGGAGGCAGCAGUGGGGAAUAUUGCACAAUGGGCGGAAGCCUGAUGCAGCAACGCCGCGUGCGGGAUGACGGCCUUCGGGUUGUAAACCGCUUUCGCCUGUGACGAAGCGUGAGUGACGGUAAUGGGUAAAGAAGCACCGGCUAACUACGUG